rnacentral:rRNA from 1 species
UACGGGGGGAGCAAGCGCUGUUCGGAUUUACUGGGCGUAAAGGGCGCGUAGGCGGCCACGACAAGUCACUUGUGAAAUCUCCGGGCUUAACUCGGAACGGUCAAGUGAUACUGUCGGGCUAGAGUGCAGAAGGGGCAACUGGAAUUCCCAGUGUAGCGGUGAAAUGCGUAGAUAUUGGGAGGAACACCAGUGGCGAAGGCAGGUCUCUGGGCUGACACUGACGCUCAUGCACGAAAGCGUGGGGAGCAAACAGG